rnacentral:rRNA from 1 species
AUUGAACGCUGGCGGCAGGCCUAACACAUGCAAGUCGAACGGUAACAGGAAGCAGCUUGCUGCUUCGAUGACGAGAGGCGGACGGGUGAGUAAUGUCUGGGCAACUGCCUGAUGGAGGGGGUUAACUACUGGAAACGGUAGCUAAUACCGCAUAACGUCGCAAGACCAAAGAGGGGGACCUUAGGGCCUCUUGCAAUCGGCUGUGCCCAGAUGGGAUUAGCUAGUAGGUGGGGUAACGGCUCACCUAGGCGACGAUCCCUAGCUGGUCUGAGAGGAUGACCAGCCACACUGGAACUGAGACACGGUCCAGACUCCUACGGGAGGCAGCAGUGGGGAAUAUUGCACAAUGGGCGCAAGCCUGAUGCAGCCAUGCCGCGUGUAUGAAGAAGGCCUUCGGGUUGUAAAGUACUUUCAGCGGGGAGGAAGGGAGUAAAGUUAAUACCUUUGCUCAUUGACGUUACCCGCAGAAGAAGCACCGGCUAACUCCGUG